rnacentral:rRNA from 1 species
CACUCCUACGGGAGGCAGCAGUGGGGAAUAUUGCACAAUGGGCGCAAGCCUGAUGCAGCGACGCCGCGUGGGGGAUGAAGGCCUUCGGGUUGUAAACUCCUUUCGCUAGGGACGAAGCUUUUUUGUGACGGUACCUAGAUAAGAAGCACCGGCUAACUACGUGCCAGCAGCCGCGGUAAUACGUAGGGUGCGAGCGUUGUCCGGAAUUACUGGGCGUAAAGGGCUCGUAGGUGGUUUGUCGCGUCGUCUGUGAAAUUCUGGGGCUUAACUCCGGGCGUGCAGGCGAUACGGGCAUAACUUGAGUGCUGUAGGGGUAACUGGAAUUCCUGGUGUAGCGGUGAAAUGCGCAGAUAUCAGGAGGAACACCGAUGGCGAAGGCAGGUUACUGGGCAGUUACUGACGCUGAGGAGCGAAAGCAUGGGUAGCGAACAGGAUUAGAAACCCUUGUAGUCCCAU